rnacentral:rRNA from 1 species
UUCUAGCCUAACAAAUAUUAGAAGUACCGCCUGCCCUGUGGAAACCCUAAACGGCCGCGGCACUAAAACCGUGCAAAGGUAGCACAAUCACUUGUCCCUUAAAUGAGGACCCGUAUGAAAGGCAACAUGAGGGAAGACCUGUCUCCUAAGGCUGGCCAAUGAAAUUGAACUGCCAGUACAAAAGCUGACAUAUACAAGCAAGACAAAAAGACCCUGUGGAACUUAAACAAGUUUCUUACACAAAAUAAGCAAUAGUUUCAGUUGGGACAACUUUAGAAAAAAUAAACUUCCUAAUUAACCAAGACCCACGAGUCUAAAAUAUCAUCCGCGACCCAGUAAUACUGAUUAAUGAACCAAGCUACCCCAGGGAUAACAGCGCCACCUUCUAAAAGAGUCCAUAUCAACAAGAAGAUCUACGACCUCGAUGUUGGAUCAGGGUACCCUGACGGUGCAGCAGCUGUCAAUGGUUCGUUUGUUCAACGACUAACACCCUACGUGAUCUGAGUUCAGACCGG